AUAAUAAUAAUAAUAACAAGGUUUCCCAGAACCCCUACCGUAAUUCCAAAGCAUAGCUCCAUGUGACAUAAUAGUCAAAUACGCCAAUCCAGCUCGUAUAUUCCUAUUUUAAAAGUACCACGUUACCAAAGUAAGAAGGAUGUAUAAUACAUCAGAUUCAAUUGUAGUUAAAGUACAUUCAGGUUAUACAAAAACUUCUGUCCCACUGAUAUUUAUAUUAGUUCAAACGCUAAAUGCAUGCUUUAUUAGACAGUAAUAAAUGUGAGUUUACCUUAUGGUAUUUUUGAUCUUUCUCUGUAUUGUAGGAUGUCGCUUGAAACUUUAUAUAUUGAUCGAUGACUACUCAGACCGUUAAAUUUAUGAGUAAUGCUAGGAAGAUUAAAUUUAUAGACUAAAUUAGCAAACCAAAUGAGGUGUCAC
rnacentral:lncRNA from 1 species